rnacentral:pre_miRNA from 1 species
AAUAUACUCCCUCCGUUUCAAAUUAACUGUCGUUUUUUGGAUGAAUGUGGCCUUGUUUAGGACUACAUUCAUCCCAAAAACGACAAUUAAUUUGGAACGGAGGGAGUAUAUU